rnacentral:lncRNA from 1 species
AGUAUAUCUUUAAGUACAAAGUCCAGUUCUGUUAACUGUAAGCACAAACGUUGUACAGCAGGUCUCUGGAACUUUUUUGUCUUGUAUAACAAAACUUUACACCGGCGGAAGAGCAGCUCUCUCCGCCCCCUUCUCCUCCGCCCGCAGUAACUGCUGUUCCGCUUUCCGCUUCCGUGAGUUCGGCGACUCUGCGCACGUCAUAGGAUAAGUGGAAUCAGGCAGUCCUUGUCCUUCUUUGGCAGGACCAGCUGGAAUUCUGCUGAGCCAAGACGCAGCAAACAGCAUGACGAUGCCUGUGGGCUCCGGAUUCGAUCAGCCUGGGCCUCUGAUUAUGACGCUGUGUGGCUUCAGACUGAACCUCUGUGCCUCUGUUUCCUCCUCUGUAAAGUUAAACUAGAAAUUCUUUACACCCCGAAAGGCUGCUGGGAAGUGUUGUCAUAGUGUCGGCCUCCAGUAACCUCAAUUCAAUGCCAGGUGUUGGUUUUUAAAAUUUUUAUUUUGUUUCUAAUAUUCAUUCAAAUAUGAAAAUACAUAGGUAAUUCUGUUUCUUCUUUUUUAUUAAAAAUGACAUGUAUUCUAGAAUAAAAUUAUCGUAUAUGUCCUUCUAGAAUUUCU